rnacentral:misc_RNA from 1 species
GUGAAUCAUCGAAUCUUUGAACGCAAAUUGCACUCUCUGGUAUUCCGGAAAGCAUGCCUGUUUGAGGGUCAGUUAAUUCAUCAACGGUGUUGUUUCUGCAUUUCGUGCUGACGCGUCGGAUUUGAGUUGUCUUCCGUUUGCUUAAGUGACUUACAAUUUUUGCAUGAUUUUUGAACGUAUUUACAUCGUUUAUGUACGUUUGAGAUAUG